AGAUCAUGAUUUCCUGGAAGCUGGCUGUCCAUCAGUGUGUAUGUAAGAUGUGUGAUAAGUAUGGUGCUUCCACAAUGCAUUUUGGAUGUUUUCAGCUAAGUUGACUUCUGAGCUAUGGGGUUCCUCCAAAUGUUGGCUGACCUUUGUCCUCGUACAUCCCCAGGCUCAUCUGAAAAAUCUACAGUUCAUAAUGGAGCUACUGUACCGACUAUUGGAAGGAGGAGAUUCUGAAAAUAGGGAGCUGAGUAAUGGAGGCAGGAGCCAAGGACCGCGGGUCACCACCUGUCACAGACAAGGCAAGAAACAGAUUCUCCCCUGUGGCCCCAGAAGGAACGAAGCCCUGCUGACACCCUGAUUUU